GGCCCCCCGCAUGGGGGGCCCGGGAAAGCCCUGGCGGGAGGGGAUGGGGUCGCGGCCCAUCAGGUAGACGGCGGGGUAACGGCCCACCGUGCCUGCAACGGGUAGCCGGGCUGAGAGGCCGAACGGCCACAUUGGGACUGAGACACGGCCCAGACUCCUACGGGAGGCAGCAGUGGGGAAUUUUGCGCAAUGGGGGCAACCCUGACGCAGCGACGCCGCGUGCGGGACGAAGUCAUUCGUGACGUAAACCGCUUUCAGCGAGGAAGAACCAUGACGGUACUCGCAGAAGAAGCCCCGGCUAACUACGUGCCAGCAGCCGCGGUAAUACGUAGGGGGCGAGCGUUAUCCGGAAUCAUUGGGCGUAAAGCGCGCGCAGGCGGGCUUUCAAGCGGCGGCGUCGAAGCCGGGGGCUCAACCCCCGGAAGCGCCCCGAACUGGAAGCCUCGGAUGCGGCAGGGGGAGGCGGAAUUCCCGGUGUAGCGGUGAAAUGCGCAGAUAUCGGGAAGAACACCGACGGCGAAGGCAGCCUCCUGGGCCGGCAUCGACGCUGAGGCGCGAAAGCUGGGGGAGCGAACAGGAUUAGAUACCCUGGUAGUCCCAGCCGUAAACGAUGGACGCUAGGUGUGGGGGGACGAUCCCUCCGUGCCGAAGCCAACGCAUUAAGCGUCCCGCCUGGGGAGUACGACCGCAAGGUUGAAACUCAAAGGAAUUGACGGGGGCCCGCACAAGCAGCGGAGCAUGUGGCUUAAUUCGAAGCAACGCGAAGAACCUUACCAGGGCUUGACAUAUCGGUGAAGCCGGAGAGAUCCGGUGGCCGAGAGGAGCCGAUACAGGUGGUGCAUGGCUGUCGUCAGCUCGUGCCGUGAGGUGUUGGGUUAAGUCCCGCAACGAGCGCAACCCCCGCCGCGUGUUGCCAGCAUUCAGUUGGGCACUCACGCGGGACUGCCGGCGUCAAGCCGGAGGAAGGCGGGGACGACGUCAAGUCAUCAUGCCCCUCAUGCCCUGGGCUGCACACGUGCUACAAUGGCCGGCACAACGGGUUGCCACCCCGCGAGGGGGAGCGGAUCCCAAAAGCCGGCCCCAGUUCGGAUCGCAGGCUGCAACCCGCCUGCGUGAAGCCGGAGUUGCUAGUAAUCGCGGAUCAGCACGCCG
rnacentral:rRNA from 1 species